CAGUCAGAGGCGAUGAAGGACGUGCUAAUCUGCGAAAAGCGUCGGUAAGGUGAUAUGAACCGUUAUAACCGGCGAUGUCCGAAUGGGGAAACCCAGUGUGAUUCGUCACACUAUCGUUAACUGAAUACAUAGGUUAACGAGGCGAACCGGGGGAACUGAAACAUCUAAGUACCCCGAGGAAAAGAAAUCAACCGAGAUUCCCCCAG
rnacentral:rRNA from 1 species